rnacentral:rRNA from 1 species
GAUGAACGCUAGCUACAGGCUUAACACAUGCAAGUCGAGGGGAAACGACAUCGAAAGCUUGCUUUUGAUGGGCGUCGACCGGCGCACGGGUGAGUAACGCGUAUCCAACCUGCCCAUCACUUGGGAAUAACCUUGCGAAAGUAAGACUAAUACCCAAUGACAUCCCACGAAGACAUCUGAAUGGGAUUAAAGAUUUAUCGGUGAUGGAUGGGGAUGCGUCUGAUUAGCUUGUUGGCGGGGUAACGGCUCACCAAGGCAACGAUCAGUAGGGGUUCUGAGAGGAAGGGCCCCCGCAUUGGACCUGAGACACGGUCCAAACGCCUACGGGAGGCAGCAGUGAGGAGUAUUGGUCAAGGGGCGAGAGCCUGAACCAGCAAAGUAGCGUGCAGGAUGACGGCCCUAUGGGUUGUAAACUGCUUUUAUAAGGGAAUAAAGUGGGUCUCGUGAGACUUUUGGCAUGUACCUUAUGAAUAGGACCGGCUAAUUCCGUG